AUUGAACGCUGGCGGCAUGCUUUACACAUGCAAGUCGAACGGCAGCGCGGGCUUCGGCCUGGCGGCGAGUGGCGAACGGGUGAGUAAUGCAUCGGAACGUGCCCAGUAGUGGGGGAUAGCCCGGCGAAAGCCGGAUUAAUACCGCAUACGACCUGAGGGUGAAAGCGGGGGACCGAAAGGCCUCGCGCUAUUGGAGCGGCCGAUGUCGGAUUAGCUAGUUGGUGGGGUAAAGGCUUACCAAGGCGACGAUCCGUAGCUAGUCUGAGAGGAUGACCAGCCACACUGGGACUGAGACACGGCCCAGACUCCUACGGGAGGCAGCAGUGGGGAAUUUUGGACAAUGGGGGCAACCCUGAUCCAGCCAUGCCGCGUGCGGGAAGAAGGCCUUCGGGUUGUAAACCGCUUUUGUUCGGGAAGAAAUCCUAUGGGCUAAUACCCCGGGGGGAUGACGGUACCGGAAGAAUAAGCACCGGCUAACUACGUG
rnacentral:rRNA from 1 species